rnacentral:rRNA from 1 species
AGCGUAGGCGGACAUUUAAGUCAGGGGUGAAAUCCCGGGGCUCAACCUCGGAAUUGCCUUUGAUACUGGGUGUCUUGAGUAUGAGAGAGGUGUGUGGAACUCCGAGUGUAGAGGUGAAAUUCGUAGAUAUUCGGAGGAACACCAGUGGCGAAGGCGGCUUACUGGUCCAUUACUGACGCUGAGGUGCGAAAGCGUGGGGAGCAAACA